rnacentral:rRNA from 1 species
GAUGAACGCUGGCGGCGUGCCUAAUACAUGCAAGUCGAGCGAACAGAUGAGGAGCUUGCUCCUCUGACGUUAGCGGCGGACGGGUGAGUAACACGUGGAUAACCUACCUAUAAGACUGGGAUAACUUCGGGAAACCGGAGCUAAUACCGGAUAAUAUAUUGAACCGCAUGGUUCAAUAGUGAAAGACGGUUUUGCUUUCACUUAUAGAUGGAUCCGCGCCGCAUUAGCUAGUUGGUAAGGUAACGGCUUACCAAGGCAACGAUGCGUAGCCGACCUGAGAGGGUGAUCGGCCACACUGGAACUGAGACACGGUCCAGACUCCUACGGGAGGCAGCAGUAGGGAAUCUCCAGAAAUGGGCGAAAGCCUGACGGAGCAACGACGCGUGAGUGAUGAAGGUCUUCGGAUCGUAAAACUCUGUUAUUAGGGAAGAACAAAUGUGUAAGUAACUAUGCACGUCUUGACGGUACCUAAUCAGAAAGCCACGGCUAACUACGUG